GUUGCACAACAGCAUUGACCCGGCCCUGUGAUAGAGGCAUUUGAAUAAUUUAAGUGAUUUUCUCCUCAGUGGGGCAAGAGCCAACCACAGCAGGUAGGGGAUGGAGGGUAGGACAUGCAGGGUUGUCCCCCAUAGACACUGGUGCAGGAAACACCGUUCCAGAUUCAGCCUUCGCCCCCCCAAAUUUGUUUACGCGGCACCUCGUGACUUUAAUUAUACUUAAAAGCAGGGUUGCAAUAUAAAGCGAGGAUAUAAUUUAUGGUCCAGGAGACACCUUGGGCAGGAAGACAACCUGAAGUGCCACCCAGCCAGCAGAGCGCUGAGCAGUGCAGAAGGUAAUAAACUCCGGAGGAAGCUCUGAGGACACCAGCCCACAUCUGGGCUUACACAGAAUGAAGAAAUUGACAGGAAAAAGAAGCUGCCGUGAUGAAAGUCACCUUAAGCCAUCCGUGUUCUGCGGGGGAUGGAAAGCAAAAGUUCCUCGUGUUCUCAACAUCUCCGAUAAACCCGGUGCCAGAGAGUCCAAAGUUUGUUAAAUCCACAAAUGUAACUCGCCGGGAUGGGAGGAACUUGUGCAACCCGCAGCCGGUGUGGGAACGGGUUGUGCGGGGCGAGGACACCCCGAGGAGCGGCGGCCAAGGUGAGGGGAACGGAGACGGGGCUGCCCGGCCGCCCCCCUGUGCCAAAUCGCUCCGUCAGCAUCGCUGCAUCGUCCUCAUCCCGCCGCUCCGGGGGGCGGGAGGGGCCCAUCUCCCUGGGACCCCCGGCACCACCCCUGUGCCGACAGACCCGGCAGCUCCGCGGGACCCCCGUCAGUUUCCCGAAGCCAGGACCGACAAUGCAAGACCCUCGGCAGGUCCCCACUCGCGGGAUCCCCCGCAGGUUGCCGGUGUCGGGAUCCCCGGCAGCUCCGGCCCCUCAGGACCCCCGACAUCUUCCCGGGACUCUCCGCAGACGCCCGGGGUAGAUCCCUCUGCAGCUCCCGGGAGCCCCGACGGGUCCCGGGACCCCCCCGCACCUCUCCGCUCCCGGGACCCCUGACAGCUCCACGACCCCAGGACCCCCUCAGGCUCCCGGUGUUAACCCCAGGCUCACUAGUGGCCAUAUGGUUUGGUUUCUGUCGUAUUAAUGGUAAAAUCCUGAGCGCAAGCGAGCUGCCCAUGAAGCUCACCAGUGGAAAAUAAGACUUGGGGACACCGGAGCAGCAUCCCCACAGCUGAUGUGUCACAGGGAUGCUGGCAAUGCCACCAGCACUGUCACUGCUCAGCAGCCACCAGCUUUGCACCCGGGAAACCCCUGGUUGAAUUCCCAGGAGAUUCGUGCUCAAUGGAAAAACGUUACCCUUCCCUUUUUCCUUUCCUUCCUAAAUCUGGUUUAAGCUGUUUUCAGACCAAAGAGGUGACAUCAAAUGUGAUGGAGGGGAAGGAGGUGGUGGAGGAAGGCCUGGGGAGGUGGGGGACAAGUGACAGCUGCACGUCCUGGACACAACAGCCCAGGGAUGGGGAAACUCAUUUCAAAGUGCCCAAAUCACCCGUUUUAGAAACCUCUGAUCCCUGGCAGCUCUCAGUGAGAAAUGCGGAGAAUUAUAGAGAAAAAAGGGCUUCUGCCAGGGUGAAAGAGCUCAAAACCAUGGGGACAGCCAAGGAGGGAUGUGCUGAUGGGUUUCUUUCAUCCAGCAUCCCUUCCAAGCGCUGAAGACAGAAGCAAAAGGGAUUUAAAUUGGAGAUUAGAGAGGCUGCCCGACUGCAGUGAUGCACUCGGAGUAUAGAGAGCGGAGCAUCCCCAGCGCCAGAGGUUUUAGCUGUAAUUACACCAACAUCUGUCCAGCGAUGGUCGGGACUUGCGUAGUCACUGCGCAGCUCCAGGCUGGGCUGGAGUUCUCCCACAGGCUCCUUCUGCUCUGCUUUUCUGUGAUUUCAGAGAAAUCUGGAUUUUCUUUUUUUUUCUAUCCAAUGUGUUCUUUCUCUCCAGAAAGAUUAAAUCUCGACUGUCAGGAACUGGCGUAGCGGGUGAGAAGAUUUCCCAGACUAGUCAAAAUGUCAUCCUGCUCAGGUGAUGUCCCCAAGAACCCAGCUGUGGCCAGCAUAGGAUGAGACCCCCCACACUGUGUUUUCACUCCCCAACAAACCCCACUGCACUGGGGGGAGCAACACACGGGGAGAGAGAUGCGCCUGGGGGUGGAG